AAAUAUCAGUUUUGAAGAUUAAUAACUACCAAGAAGUAUUUGAAUGUGCCCAACUUGCAGAAGAGACUACAAGCUCAAUCCCACAACAAAUCCAACAGGCUCGACCAUCUAUACCAAAUAAUUAGAAGGUCCAAGAGCCACAACAACUUGAUAAGAGACAAGAGACAAGUUUCAUAAGUCCUCCGAGAGCCCUAGCACAAAAGCCAGAGUAAAUCUGCCCCCAUGGUGGAAAAAAUCACGGUAAUAGACCCUGCUACAAGUUGACAAAUGAAUUCUUUAGAUCUGGUAGUAUUCAACAUCGGAUCAAAGAGUGUCAUAUCAAUAAAGAAAUACCAAACCAACAACUCAAGAAAGAGUAUAUGUCAUUAUAGAGCGAGAUGCUCAAUCCUCUCUAGAUGUAAUCCAAGGUAUGUUCACUAUCUCUAGUACCUUGGCUAAAGUUUUAAUAGACCCAGAAUCUACAUACUCUUU
rnacentral:lncRNA from 1 species